AUGAAAGCCUAAUAAAGUCCAGGCAAUCUGUGAGAAAAAAAUCACCCAACCCAAAACUAAUUGCAACAGAAAUGAUUUUUGUUGUAUUCAGUUCAUGAA